GUCGCGUGCCAUUCGACGCAGCGGAAGAGAUAAUCCUCCGUGGAACCCUCCGCCACCGCCAAUGGCCCACGCAAUCGCCACCGCAUCCUUCUCCGGCGCCGCCCCAGCCUCCUCGCUUCCCCACCGCCGGAAUACAGCCGGCUUCUUCUUUAAGCAGAGGCCCCCAGUGGAGUGCAGUGGCCCCGACCUCCUCGCGGCCGCCAAGCUUACGGUGAGUGACUCUCUCACAAAUGUCGUCUCUUUGGGGGGAGAUUGCCUGCCGUCUUUGCCUUCUCUUUUAGGUUUUGCUUCCGAUCGACUGAACCGUGUUGGAUCCGGUGGAUGGCGAAGGUGGAUAAGUAUGUGAGGAGCGGGAUGGUGGUGGGAUUGGGGUCGGGACGCGCCUCUGGAUUGGCCAUACAGUAUCUUGGCCACCGACUACGAGACGGAAGCCUCAAGGACGUCGUCGGAGUCCCAACAUCUGUGUCUAGUGCAAGUAAAGCAGCAAUGGCAGGAAUUCCACUGGACAAUUACCAAGAAAAUCUUCAAGUGUGCAUGCAUUCUUAUUGUCAAAUAUGUUGAAUACUUAUCUGUUUGUUUUAAUUGAUUUUGUAUUUGACGAUGCCGAUCUAAUUGAUAAGAGAACAUUAACUGCUGUGAUUGGUCGGAGAAAAUUGGAUGGUGGUGAGUCCAUAAUCCAAGAGAAGUCAAUUAUAAAGAGAGCUAGUGGACUUGCUUACAUUGUGACUGACAAUCAAUAUACUGGUGAACUUGGUGGAUCUAUUCCAGUCCUGAUUACUAGUGGUAAUUGGCUGGAAACUGCUGAACAAAUAGACGAUCUGUUUCUUGGAGAUGCCGAGGUAUGGUUUUACAUGCUAUGAUCAGUCUGGGAAUGAAUAUUUCCACUGAUUGAGGGAUUAUUUUGAUAUCGAUCACCAUGAAUCCAGAUGUGUGGAACUAGCCACUCUAAUAUAAGAACCACGAUUGUCAAACAGAGUUAUUCUAUGAACAAAGCUGAUAACUUCAUCAAAAAGGAUAAAGAGGUAGAAAGAAAUAGGAGAAUGAAAACUUCAAUAGCUACAUAGACAAAAGGAAUGCACAAAAAUGCAUCUUGUUUCCUAUAUGUCAAUGGUUUGAUUGUUUUUUUUGAGUUUAUCUACACUAUAGCUGUGCAAGAUCUCGUAUUCUUGGUUUGUUGCAAAGGUGUGGAGAAGAUCACCAUCUGGAGGUGCAGGCCCUCUAGGGGGCGACUUCCCAUUAGUUACUAAAGAAGGACACCAUGUUCUUGAUGUCAUUUUCACGUCUCCUAUACUCGAUCUAGGUAAGAUACCUCUUUUCACAAUUUCCAUCUAACCAAUACCGUUUGUUUGUUGUCUUCAGGGACUAAUGUUAAUUUUCAUAGAGCAUAAAACACGAGAAUGUAGUUACAAUAGCUGUUUGUUAAUGAUUAAUGGCGUUAGAGACUUGGAACUUGGCUGAUGUUUGUUUCUUAUUAUUGCAUUCUUAAUGUAUCUCUUGAAGAAUGUGUAGGUCAAGUUGCAGAAAGCCUGGACCAAGUUGACGGCGUUGUGGACCAUGGAAUCAUAUGUGGCAUUCCAUGCACUGUGAUAAUUGCUUCAAAGGAAGGAUUAGAAGUUGUUGACAACAUGUCAAAAAACCAAACCACUGACAGCUUAUGAUGAUGUAUGUUAUCUAGAAUCUGGAUAC